rnacentral:pre_miRNA from 1 species
CGGUGGUUUGUCGGGCCAGGUCGGUGCCAUGUUCUGUUAGAUAGUGUAAUAUUGCACUCGUCCCGGCCUGACAAAACACACG